AGAAAAGUAGGUGCCGCCCCGCACAGGGGCGACGCUAGCAAACCGAUACGACAACGCGGAUGCCAGCGCAGCCAAAAAACCGAACCACAU
rnacentral:sRNA from 1 species